GGCUCAGUGUAGUCGUGACAGGUCGGAGGAGGUUCCUUCCUAAACAAGAGCUAAGAACUGAACUGCUGCAUUGUUGUACCCUCCUCAAGGAGAGAGGUAACGGCCCAGGGGGCCACAGGAAGAGGAAGAGGAGGAGGAGGAGGACCAGCAGCCCCAUUGUGAAGGCUUGUAAGACUGAGAGUAAUGAGGAAAUUGGUCUACUUGAUGAUCCUACUGCAGCACUAAGUACUCAGUCCUCACAAAGAUUUGGUCUCUCCGUUGGUCCUACUACAAGUGCUACGCCUUCAAGAGAGAUUGCUGAAUAUUCACUUUAAGAGGCUCUAUGCCCUGUCAAUUUUGGGUCUUCAAGUCACUGACAGCAUAACAGUCACACAAGCCCACAG